AACUUUCGACAACGGAUCACUUGGUUCUCGCAUCGAUGAAGAACGCAGCGAAAUGCGAUAAGUAAUAUGAAUUGCAGAUUUUCGUGAAUCAUCGAAUCUUUGAACGCACAUUGCGCCCUUUGGUAUUCCAAAGGGCAUGCCUGUUUGAGCGUCAUUUCUCUCUCAAAUCUUCGGAUUUGGUUUUGAGUGAUACUCUUAGUCAGACUAGGCGUUUGCUUGAAAUGUAUUGGCAUGAGUGGUACUAGAUAGUGCUGAACUGUUUCAAUGUAUUAGGUUUAUCCAACUCGUUGACCAGUAAAGUAUUUGUUUAUUACACAGGCUCGGCCUUACAACAACAAACAAAGUUUGACCUCAAAUCAGGUAGGACUACCCGCUGAACUUAAGCAUAUCAAUAAGCGGAGGCU
rnacentral:misc_RNA from 1 species